rnacentral:rRNA from 1 species
UUAAGAAACAAAGAGCGCACGGUGGAUGCCUUGGCACUAAUAGGCGAAGAAGGACGCGACUAACAGCGAAAUGCUACGGGGAGCAGUAAGUACGCAGAGAUCCGUAGAUGUCCGAAUGGGGGAACCCACUAGUUUGAAGAACUAGUAUCAUAUAGUGAAUACAUAGCUAUAUGAGGCAAACCUGGAGAAUUGAAACAUCUUAGUACCCAGAGGAAAAGAAAAUAAAUAAUGAUUCCCUAAGUAGAGGCGAUUGAAAGGGGAAGAGCCCAGCACCAUCAAGAGUUACAAAAUCUUUUUAUAGUAGAAUUGUAUUGGAAAAGCAAGUCAAAGAAGGUGAAAGCCCUGUAUACGAAAUAAAGAGAUCUCGGUGUGAGAGUAGGGCGGAGCACGUGAAAUUCUGUCUGAAUAUGCGAGGACCAUCUCGUAAGGCUAAAUACUCAUUAGUGACCGAUAGUGAACCAGUACUGUGAAGGAAAGGUGAAAAGAACCCCUGGCGGGGAGUGAAAAGAACCUGAAACCGUGUGCUUACAAACAGUUAGAGCCCAUCAAUGGGUGAUAGCGUGCCUUUUGUAGAAUGAGCCGGCGAGUUACGUUAAUUUGCAAGGUUAAGCUUUUAGGAGUGGAGCCGUAGCGAAAGCAAGUCUUAAUAGGGCGAAUAAGUAGAUUGACGUAUACCCGAAACCGGGUGAUCUAGCCAUGAGCAGGUUGAAGCUUGGGUAAAACCAGGUGGAGGACCGAACCAGGGUCUGUUGAAAAAGACUUGGAUGACUUGUGGCUAGGGGUGAAAUUCCAAUCGAACCCGGAGAUAGCUGGUUCUCCCCGAAAUAGCUUUAGGGCUAGCGUUGUGAGAAGAGUUAUACGAAGGUAGAGCACUGAAUGGGUGAGGGCCGCACCUCGCGGUACCAAUCUCAAUCAAACUCCGAAUGUCGUAUAAUAUGCGCAGCAGUAAGACUAUGGGUGAUAAGGUCCAUGGUCAAAAGGGAAACAGCCCAGACCGCCAGUUAAGGUCCCAAAAUUAUGCUAAGUGGGAAAGGAGGUGGAGUCGCUUAAACAACUAGGAGGUUGGCUCAGAAGCAGCCAUCCUUUAAAGAGUGCGUAAUAGCUCACUAGUCGAGUGAUUCUGCGCCGAAAAUGUAUCGGGGCUAAGCAUAAUACCGAAGCUGCGGGAUUAGAUGAAGAAUCUAAUCGGUAGGGGAGCGUACUAAGUGCGUAGAAGGUUGACCGGAAGGGCAGCUGGAGCGCUUAGCAGUGAGUAUGCCGGUGUGAGUAGCGAUAAGAUGGGUGAGAAUCCCAUCCGUCGAAAGCCUAAGGUUUCCAGGGGUAAGGCUCGUCCUCCCUGGGUAAGUCGGGUCCUAAGGUGAGGCUGAGAAGCGUAGCUGAUGGACAUCAGGUUGAUAUUCCUGAACCACCAUAAAACUGAAGGAAUGACGGAGGAGGCUAAUCAGAGCUGAUUAAUGGAUUUCAGUUUAAGUACAAAGAGGGUUACGUAGGCAAAUCCGCGUAGCAAAACCUUGAAGUAUGAUGACGUAAGUCUGGUGAAGCCACACUUCCAAGAAAAGUUUCUAGGUGUAUUUUAUGGUGCCCGUACCGUAAACGGACACACGUAGGCGAGGAGAGAAUCCAAAGACGCGCGAGAUAAUUCUUGUUAAGGAACUCUGCAAAAUUACUCUGUAACUUCGGAAUAAAGAGGGCUCCCGUGAGGGAGACGCAGAAAAUAGGCCCAAGCGACUGUUUAACAAAAACAUAGGUUUCUGCUAAAGCGUAAGCUGAUGUAUAGGAGCUGACGCCUGCCCAGUGCUGGAAGGUUAAGAGGAGAAGUUAGUCGCAAGGCGAAGCUUUGAAUUGAAGCCCCAGUAAACGGCGGCCGUAACUAUAACGGUCCUAAGGUAGCGAAAUUCCUUGUCAGGUAAGUUCUGACCCGCACGAAAGGCGUAACGAUUUG